rnacentral:sRNA from 1 species
UCGCCGUUGCAAUCGGGCAACGCGCCCACCC